UCUGCCUUGUACAGGGGGAUAGCCCGCCGAAAGGCGGAUUAAUACCGCAUAUGCCCAUACUCUGGCAUCAGGGAGUGGGGAAAGGAGCAAUCCGGUACGAGAUGACCAUGCGGCUGAUUAGCUAGUUGGCGGGGUAGUGGCCCACCAAGGCGACGAUCAGUAGCUGGUUCGAGAGGAUGACCAGCCACACUGGGACUGAGAUACGGCCCAG
rnacentral:rRNA from 1 species